CAUUUGCGCAAAAUUUUAGGUUUUGAUGUUUAGCAACAUAGCAUCAAAUUAAAAGGGAAUUCGGUUAAAUACCGAAGCUGUUCCCGCAACUGUAAGCUAUUAAGCUUGUAAUUAAUCUUUAAGUCACUGUUUAUUUAUAAAUGGGAAGACCAAUUACAAGACGCAAGCCAGGAGACCUGCCUAGAUUUUAAAUAAUUC
rnacentral:ncRNA from 1 species